UACGUAGGGGGCAAGCGUUGUCCGGAAUCAUUGGGCGUAAAGGGCUCGUAGGUGGCCAACUAAGUCAGACGUGAAAUCCCCAGGCUCAACUUGGGAACUGCGUCUGAUACUGGAUGGCUUGAAUUCGGGAGAGGGAUGCAGAAUUCCAGGUGUAGCGGUGAAAUGCGUAGAUAUCUGGAGGAAUACCGGUGGCGAAGGCGGCAUCCUGGACCGGCAUUGACGCUGAUGAGCGAAAGCUAGGGGAGCAAACGGG
rnacentral:rRNA from 1 species